rnacentral:rRNA from 1 species
AGUGAACGCUGGCGGUAGGCCUAACACAUGCAAGUCGAACGGCAGCACAGUAAGAGCUUGCUCUUACGGGUGGCGAGUGGCGGACGGGUGAGGAAUACAUCGGAAUCUACUUUUUCGUGGGGGAUCACGUAGGGAAACUUACGCUAAUACCGCAUACGACCUACGGGUGAAAGCAGGGGAUCUUCGGACCUUGCGCGAUUGAAUGAGCCGAUGUCGGAUUAGCUAGUUGGCGGGGUCAAGGCCCACCAAGGCGACGAUCCGUAGCUGGUCUGAGAGGAUGAUCAGCCACACUGGAACUGAGACACGGUCCAGACUCCUACGGGAGGCAGCAGUGGGGAAUAUUGGACAAUGGGCGCAAGCCUGAUCCAGCCAUACCGCGUGGGUGAAGAAGGCCUUCGGGUUGUAAAGCCCUUUUGUUGGGAAAGAAAAGCAGCAGGUUAAUACCCCGCUGUUCUGACGGUACCCAAAGAAUAAGCACCGGCUAACUUCGUG